CAGGGCUUGACAUCUAUGGAAUCCGCCGGAAACGGUGGAGUGCCGUAAGGAGCCAUAAGACAGGUGUUGCACGGUCGUCGUCAGCUCGUGCUGUGAAGUGUACCGUUAAGUCGGCCAACGAGCGCAACCCUUAUCGUAUGUUACUUUUACAUGCGAGACUGCCGGUGUUAAAUCGGAGGAAGGUGGGGAUGACGUCAGAUCAGCGUGACCCUUAUGUCCUGGGCGACACCCGUGUUACAAUGGGUAGCAACAAUGGGUUGCGAAACCGCAAGGUGGAGCUAAUCCCAACAAACCUACCCCCAGUUCGGAUUGAGGUCUGAAACUCGACCUCAUGAAGUCGGAAUCGCUAGUAACCGUGGGUCAGCCAUACCACGGUGAAUACGUUCU
rnacentral:rRNA from 1 species